ACUUUAAAUGGAUGAUACUUUUGUGAAGGUCUCUAUUUUAAAGUAUGAUCUGCUAGUUAAUUUUUAAAUUAGAGAUCCAGAUUUUCAGAUCUUGAGCUGCUUAAGACAAGACAGAUCUAUAGCAAGUCACUUACUGCUAGAAGGUAACAUCCAUCCCUCUUUCCCACAGCAUGGAGGCCCCCAGGAGAGUCUUCCAGCCGGGAAGUCUGUGCCACGCUGUUUUAAAA
rnacentral:lncRNA from 1 species